GGGCAGUGUGCUCGUGGGAAUGGAAAGGACAGCAAGCACAGGUGAGACUGUGGAGAUGAGAAGGUGGUGGACACUCGUGAUGGAAUGGAAAUCGUCCUACCGUGCAGCCACACCCUGCCCUGCCCCGCCCCGCCCCGCCCGCGUGCCUGCCCAUGCCAGCACUUCCUUAAGUUCUCACAUCACACUCAAACCAGUGACACCACAGGAAAGAAAGACCCAAGACGUUGGAAUGGCUGUUUCCAUGGACACAAUCUCCAUAGUGACAAUGUGGGGGGAGGGGGGAGGGGUGGGAUGAUGGGGAAAGGGUGGGGGGAAUUAAAAGGGAGGGAUAAAUAUAUAUAUAUAAAUCUAUUUUUAGUCUGGAAAGACUUUGUUUAAAUGAAAGGUGCGCUAUCCCUUUUGAUUCUGUUUUAAAAUUAUCUCGUUAAAGAUCUCCAAAUUUGUUCCGAUGACAAGUGAAAUUUAAAUGUGAGAUUGAACUGAACAAACCCUCAUCUCAUGAAGGACGGGGUGUGUGUGUGGCGUUGAUCUUUAGCCUGUCUCACACCAGUUCAGAAAACACUAGACCCAGGAUUGAAAAAGCAAACCACAGCAGAACCAUCCUUUUGUCAUUAAUUUGUCUCAAAGUGGGAAGGUUUUGGGGGAGGGGGAAAUACAGGGAUGGUCCAUGUUUUCAAGAGUAGGGGAAUGAUGUUUAAACACAAAAAUAAAUUUUUUUUCAUUUCCAGAAACACUAUUUAUUUAUGGUUUUUUUUUUUUAAUUUUUUCUUUUUGGGGGUGAAAUUGGCAGAUGCCUGAGGUCAUAGCUGUGUCCUGGGUCACUGUGGCUGGUGAGGACCUCAAGGACCCCAUCAAGUGUACACAGCAGCAGCAAAAUCAAGGGAUGACCCUCCUCUGGGGCCCCCUGUCCUCAGCACAUUCCAGGCAGCUGUGCCCUGACCCACAGGGACCCGUGGGGAUGGGAGGAGGUCCAGGCCUGUGUUGCCAGAGCUGGCAGUGUGAGCUGUAGGCAGGGACGGGGAGGGACUGUCGCUGUGAUCAGAGUGGGUUAAGCUGACCAGGAACACCCAUUUAACCCCUUUUUCUUUUUGCUUUCAUUUUUAUAAAGGAAAAGAGGACCUGUCAGAUAGGCAGCCCCAUGCUACGUGAUUCUUUAUGUUGUGUUGUUUUGUUUUGUAAAUUGUAUAAUUUUUAAAUAUCUGAGUUUUAAAAAAAGAAAAAAGUACAAAAAAAUCUUGUUAUGGCCUUAAGAAGGGGUUAGUGCAUCUUUCAGGGGUCACUCUGCCAUGGGGAUAAAAUAGCUGUUUCACAAACAGUUUUAUU
rnacentral:lncRNA from 10 species